AGUGAACGCUGGCGGUAGGCCUAACACAUGCAAGUCGAACGGCAGCACAGUAAGAGCUUGCUCUUACGGGUGGCGAGUGGCGGACGGGUGAGGAAUACAUCGGAAUCUACUUUUUCGUGGGGGAUAACGUAGGGAAACUUACGCUAAUACCGCAUACGACCUACGGGUGAAAGCAGGGGAUCUUCGGACCUUGCGCGAUUGAAUGAGCCGAUGUCGGAUUAGCUAGUUGGCGGGGUAAAGGCCCACCAAGGCGACGAUCCGUAGCUGGUCUGAGAGGAUGAUCAGCCACACUGGCACUGAGACACGGUCCAGACUCCUACGGGAGGCAGCAGUGGGGAAUAUUGGACAAAGGGCGCAAGCCUGAUCCAGCCAUACCGCGUGGAUGAAGAAGGCCUUCUGGUUGUAAAGCCCUUUUGUUGGGAAAGAAAAGCAGCAGGUUAAUACCCCGCUGUUCUGACGUUACCCAAAGAAUAAGCACCGGCUAACUUCGUG
rnacentral:rRNA from 1 species